UACGGAGGGGGCAAGCGUUAUUCGGAAUUAUUGGGCGUAAAGGGCGCGUAGGCGGCUAGAUGUGUCAAAGGUGAAAUCCCUCGGCUCAACUGAGGAACUGCCUUUGAAACUGUCUGACUUGAGGCCGGGAGAGGGUAGCGGAAUUCCCAGUGUAGCGGUGAAAUGCGUAGAUAUUGGGAGGAACACCAGUGGCGAAGGCGGCUACCUGGACCGGUUCUGACGCUGAGGCGCGAAAGCGUGGGUAGCAAACAGG
rnacentral:rRNA from 1 species